rnacentral:rRNA from 1 species
CCUACGGGUGGCAGCAGUAGGGAAUCUUCCACAAUGGACGAAAGUCUGAUGGAGCAACGCCGCGUGAGUGAAGAAGGGUUUCGGCUCGUAAAGCUCUGUUGGUAGUGAAGAAAGAUAUAGGUAGUAACUGGCCUUUAUUUGACGUUAAUUACUUAUAAAGUACCGGCUAACUACGUGCCAACAGCCGCGUUAAUACGUAGGUGGCAAGCGUUGUCCGGAUUUAUUGGGCGUAAAGCGAGUGCAGGCGGUUCAAUAAGUCUGCUGUGAAAGCCUUCGGCUCAACCGGAGAAUUGCAUCCGAAACUGGUGAACUUGAGUGCAGAAGAGGAGAGUGGAACUCCAUGUGUAGCGGUGGAAUGCGUAGAGAUAUGGAAGAACACCAGUGGCGAAGGCGGCUCUCUGGGCUGCAACUGACGCUGAGGCUCGAAAGCAUGGGUAGCGAACAGGAUUAGAUACCCUAGUAGUC